ensembl:miRNA
AUCGCCAGAGCUCUUAAUGUCCCAAAACAGCGACAUGAGAGCGCUGACGAGUUGA